rnacentral:rRNA from 1 species
CAGCUUGUUGGUGGGGUGAUGGCCUACCAAGGCGACGACGGGUAGCCGGCCUGAGAGGGCGACCGGCCACACUGGGACUGAGACACGGCCCAGACUCCUACGGGAGGCAGCAGUGGGGAAUAUUGCGCAAUGGGCGGAAGCCUGACGCAGCGACGCCGCGUGGGGGAUGACGGCCUUCGGGUUGUAAACCUCUUUCGACCUUGACGAAGCGAAAGUGACGGUAGGGGUAGAAGAAGCACCGGCCAACUACGUGCCAGCAGCCGCGGUAAUACGUAGGGUGCGAGCGUUGUCCGGAAUUAUUGGGCGUAAAGAGCUCGUAGGCGGUCUGUCGCGUCGGUCGUGAAAACCUGCAGCUUAACUGUGGGCUUGCGGUCGAUACGG